AGGAGCCGGAUGAUGCGAAAGUAUCAAGUCCGGUUUUGAAGCCGAGUCGGAAGGGUGACCUUCCGGCUUAGGUUAAC
rfam:Mastigocoleus testarum BC008 Contig-3, whole genome shotgun sequence.